CUCACCCUCAGAAGAAAGAAAAGGUAAACUCCCUCUGAAUAAAUCUUGUCAAGGAAAACCCAAUGUUGGAAUCACCUUAUGAAAUGACUUUAAGGCACACAGAAACAACAACCAUCAAUUUAAUAAAUUAAAACAAUUUUUUUUAAAUUAAAACUUUUUAAAACAGUGUGAUUGGACAGAUUGGAAUAUAUCAGGUGCGUUCCAAGGCUUAAGCAGCCAUGUUUUUACUUAACACUGAAAUGAAGACAGCAUUAGCAAGAGUUGGGCUUCUAAAGGGAGGGCAUUCUACAAUUUGGAUGCCAGGGCUGAGAAGGUGCUCUCCCACCUCCUCACACAAUGUUUGAGGCACUAGUGAUCAACGUCUACAAUGUUCAGAAUUAAAACACAUGAUAUGUCAAGAGAUUAUUUGGUGUGACCAGAAUGCUAAAACAAACAAACAAACAUGGGGGUUAGAUUAACACUAUCACAUGAUUCCAUGCUCACAAAUAAGGAAGCAAAAUUCAAGAUAAGGGUUGGGAAAUAACUAGGGACUCUUUGGUUCCCCAAUCUCAAUAGAACAAUAUUAAAACAGGAUGGUUAUGUCAGUUAUAUGCAACCCCUAUACUUUUUUGUUGCUAUCUCCCAAUCGCAUUUCAAGCUUUCUUCUGUCCUCCAGACACACUGGACUACAAUGACAAAUAUCCCAGCUGAGGAUGGAAACCUGAUUUAGGAGCUAUAAAAUGCAAUCAGUACACAAACCAGAAGCUGGAAUCAUCUGCUAAUGGAACUUUUAAUUGAGAAGUGACCACUGACAUGAGAAAACAGGACCCGGAACAAUGGAUGCAAGCUACAGGAAAAAAGAUUCCA